AUCAGAAACCCUAAUUCCCAAAUCCUAGAAAACCUAAUCCUAAUGUUUCCCUUUCCUCAGCCUCUAAACGCAGCCUCCACCCCCUUUCUUCCUAAACACCACACACACACAAAAGAAGAAAGAAACAUAGAGAGAAAGAGCACGAAGAGCAGAGAAAAGAGAGAGGGAAGAACUGCUGCCCCGCCGCCGCCGUGACCGUCGCACUACCACCGUUGAACUCCGCUCGCAUUGCCGCGCGUUCCGUCACCAUCAGAGUCGUCGUCGCCGUUUGUGGAGCCGCAAGGAGCAUCGCCGUCGAAGCCACGCCGAUCGUCACUGCCCAGUCGUCGCUCUGCCUCCCACCAAGCCCGUUCUGCCACUGACGUCGCCGAAAGGAGAGCGACCACCAUGAGGAGCCACCGUUGUCCUUGCUCGUCAUCUCCCUUGGAGCCGUCGCCGUUGAGGACCAGUGGAGAGAGAGAACGCGCGACGUUCAGGAAGGAGGACGUGAGUCAGUGACGCAAGGAGGAGUGCGACCCACUGCGUGAAGUUGUGCCGCCUUGCCUUCCGUCGCCGUCGUGCUUGGGUGCCGUCGAAGGAGCCGCCGCUGGAAGAGGAGGGUUAGCUGGAUGCUACCAUCACCAACAUCACGGAAUAUACGCAGAGUAGAGGAAGAAAGGAUCCUCACCGCGCCAGGUUGUCGUUCUGUGAUCAGAAGCUGUUGCCGUCAGAAAGCUCAUCUGCGGUGAGAGAGAGAGUUCACGAAGGUUGGAACCAUUGUCCUUUGCUUAGCCACUGUUUCUGCUACUGUUUACGUUGGCUCAGCCAUUACCGCCACUGGAGCUGCUCGGAAACCCUGUUGUUGUUGCUCCAUUAUUUUAUUGUAAGCUAUCUGUAGUUCCAAUUCUAUUGAACUCAUUUCCAUUUCCGACUCCAUUGAAUUUGAACUCUCUAUUUUGUUGCCACCGUGGUUACUACUGCGAGAGUGAAGAAUGAAUCGAAAAUAAUGCUGCUGCCGUUGAUCGGAGAUGCCAAACUAUUGCUGCUACUACUUUGAGAUGAUAUGGCUGCUAUUAAGGUUGUUGUUCAUGAGUGCAGCAUUCCCAAUUUCUAUGGAUUUCGACACUUUGAGUGACACAGGUUCGAAGACACAGUUUGAAGCUGCGGGUGAUUAUAGAAUUUAUUUAAGAUGAGUCUCCAUAAGCAAAAAGGAAAGCAGAAAAAAGAACAUGUAGCAGCCGGUUGAUCCACCAGUUGAAGGUGGCAAUCCGUGUAGUUGCCGUACCCUCUUUUCUCAUCUUUGAAUGCACGGAGGACCGUGCAAACUUUUAAGUGUGGGGAGGUAUGACCGAGUCCGCACUUUUUAGGUGAAACAUUCUAAUCCCAAACACUUUCAUACUUUUAGAAUUCUUAGCUGCAUCUUUCUUAGUUUGUAUAUAUUGCAUCUUUCUUAGUUUAUUACAUUUCUUUUCAUAUAUACAUAUAAGCUUAAUCAAAAUAAUAAAGUUUUUCAAGGGAUUUAUUUAUAGGGUAUUCCAAAAUUGAUUUGAGUUAAGAUAUUUUUUUCAUUGAAAUUUGCUUGAACUAUAUUGUGGAACAUAAUUUUUGAGCUAGAACACACAACCUUGUGAGUUUUUGAGCCUUAAUGUGUGGUUGUAUCAUUUCAACCACUAUUUCAUUCUUGUGUGUGUUGUUCUCUUUCUAUGAUUGUAAUCUUUGAUUUCUGUGAUUCUUUAUGUCUAUUAUUCUGUGUAUGAAUGCAUCUAUAUGAUUGAGACCUUCAUUUCAUUCAAGCUCACUUACCCAAAUAACCUUACUCUUCUAUCUACCAUUAUUAGCCAAUUUUGAGCCAAUUUUAAUCCCUUUUUGAUCUUAAUGUUAGUACAUCACUACCCCUAAGUAAAAAAUAAUAAAUGUCCUUAAUUUGGAUCUUUGAUUAGCUUAGGUUAGGGAGAAUGUGUAUCAUUUAAGUGUGGAAAAAUU